GCUCCUAUCGUUUAACGGUUAAGACAAUGCUUUUUCGUGGUAUAGAUGUGAGUUCGAAUCUCACUAGGAGUA
rnacentral:tRNA from 1 species